rnacentral:rRNA from 1 species
ACCUGGGAACUGCAGUGGAUACUGGGCGACUAGAGUGUGGUAGAGGGUAGCGGAAUUCCUGGUGUAGCAGUGAAAUGCGUAGAGAUCAGGAGGAACAUCCAUGGCGAAGGCAGCUACCUGGACCAACACUGACACUGAGGCACGAAAGCGUGGGGAGCAAACAGGAUUAGAUACCCUGGUAGUCCACGCCCUAAACGAUGCGAACUGGAUGUUGGGUGCAAUUUGGCACGCAGUAUCGAAGCUAACGCGUUAAGUUCGCCGCCUGGGGAGUACGGUCGCAAGACUGAAACUCAAAGGAAUUGACGGGGGCCCGCACAAGCGGUGGAGUAUGUGGUUUAAUUCGAUGCAACGCGAAGAACCUUACCUGGCCUUGACAUGUCGAGAACUUUCCAGAGAUGGAUGGGUGCUU